CCGAUCACGGGUGAUGGAGUUCCACCUUUAACCGCUCAUCAUUGAGAUAAUGACUCCUGCUGUAGU
rnacentral:ncRNA from 1 species